rnacentral:rRNA from 1 species
GAUGCCCAGCGAAGGGCUGGCUGGCUCCCGACGUUUCUCCCACGGCGGCCCAUGUGGACAUCCUCCAAAACCUUGUGGCUAAUACAUGCAAGCAAGACCAUCAUCCAAUGGUUUUCACCGAGGUCGGCCGCCCCUCCNCGCGCCCCACGUGGCGCGCGCGUGGGGCACAGCAGUGGGAAACAGAAAAUGCGUGCUACACUGKUGACACCUGCGAUCCAGGGGCGGCCAUCGACCGCACCCGGCUGGUAUCAAGGCCAGCGUCCGUGAAGGACAGCUCACUUGUCGGUUGACCCAGGCCGGUCCCCCACGAAGCACACACACCUGUGGUGUGUGGGGAGAGGGAGGCACCGGCAGAGRGAUAUGUUUUGUGCCUGUCUGGGCUCGCGCCACCGGCACGCCGGUCGCCCCCUCGCGGGGUGGCCAGUGUGUGUCGGUCGGACCACGCCCCUGGCACAGAGUUUUGCCUGAUCACACGAGCUUCUGACCUAUCAGCUUGGUCUGUGGCGCAGUGGACCACAGUGGCCCUGACGGGUGACGGAGAAUGAGGGUUCGAUUCCGGAGAGGGAGCCUGAGGGAUGGCUACCACUACCAAGGUGGGCAGCAGGCGCGCAAAUUGCCCAAUACAAACCAAWCCUUGUGARGCAGCGACGAACUGUAGCAUCCCGCCAGCUCUCCGAGCUGGUGGGACUUGGA